rnacentral:lncRNA from 1 species
AGGUCUCCUUGAGGCAGCAGAGGAGGAAGAGUGUCGAUGGAGGUGUCUUCUUGGGUACGCGGCUGUCCCGGGACUUGAGUGUCUGUGUGAGGGUCUCCCUUCGGGGGUCUUUCAUUUGGUGCAUUGGCCGGGAAUUCGAGAAUCUUUCAUUUGGUGCAUUGGCCGGGAAUUCGAGAAUCUUUCAUUUGGUGCGUUGGCCGGGAAACAGCGCGACCACCCAGAGGUCCUAGACCCACUUAGAGAUACUUGUGGUAGCCUUCUCAUUCAGUUACAUAUGCAAAACCCAGUGGAAUCAUGAUGAAAAGUUCCAUCACUCUGAAAAGUUCCAUCACUCAAAGAGAAAGAUUUGGCAUGUCAUCUUCUAUUGUUGCGUUGAUGGAUAGAGGCUUUGAAAUAGGUGAUACGUAUUUCUAUUUACUGUUCAGACAUGUACUGUACCCAUGUUCUCAUCCAGGGAUGACUCUGUUCUUUCUGCCAAAUGCAGCAAUAUCUCUAGCAAUUUUUGUUGUCCUAUCUUGAGAAACAGAAAUGUUGAUGCCUAGGAGUUAAAAUCAGCAAUAUCACUAAAUAUGGUGAAAAAAGUGAUCAUGAAAAGAGGAUUUUUGAAGAUUGAUUGUUCACAGACACAUUAUUUUCAACUUACUCUAUUAGCUUUCCCUUUUUUA